rnacentral:rRNA from 1 species
UGGGGAAUUUUGGACAAUGGGCGAAAGCCUGAUCCAGCAAUGCCGCGUGUGUGAAGAAGGCCUUCGGGUUGUAAAGCACUUUUGUCCGGAAAGAAAUCCUUGGCUCUAAUACAGUCGGGGGAUGACGGUACCGGAAGAAUAAGCACCGGCUAACUACGUGCCGGCAGCCGCGGUAAUACGUAGGGUGCAAGCGUUAAUCGGAAUUACUGGGCGUAAAGCGUGCGCAGGCGGUUUGCUAAGACCGAUGUGAAAUCCCCGGGCUCAACCUGGGAACUGCAUUGGUGACUGGCAGGCUAGAGUAUGGCAGAGGGGGGUAGAAUUCCACGUGUAGCAGUGAAAUGCGUAGAGAUGUGGAGGAAUACCGAUGGCGAAGGCAGCCCCCUGGGCCAAUACUGACGCUCAUGCACGAAAGCGUGGGGAGCAAACAGGAUUAGAUACCCUGGUAGUCCACGCCCUAAACGAUGUCAACUAGUUGUUGGGGAUUCAUUUCCUUAGUAACGUAGCUAACGCGUGAAGUUGACCGCCUGGGGAGUACGGUCGCAAGAUUAAAACUUAAAUGAAUUGACGGGGUCAUAGCUGUUUCCU